UGGGGAAUAUUGCACAAUGGGGGAAACCCUGAUGCAGCGACGCCGCGUGAAGGAAGAAGUAUCUCGGUAUGUAAACUUCUAUCAGCAGGGAAGAAAACAGACGGUACCUGACUAAGAAGCCCCGGCUAACUACGUGCC
rnacentral:rRNA from 1 species